AAAUGGAAGGGUGAUUGUUGUUAUUUCUAUGUGUUGUUCAUGGUGUUCAUGAUUGUGGUGAAGGAAAUGUGUGGAGUUUUGUUGAGAUAUGAAAUAGAUAUGUGUGAGGUAAGUUGGAAAUGAAAUUUUAGAUAAAAUGAGUUAGUAGUGGGUAGUUUUAGUGAAUAAUGUCACCAUUUUUUCUACUAAUUUUCUCUUAU
rnacentral:lncRNA from 1 species